GACGAACGCUGGCGGCGUGCUUAACACAUGCAAGUCGUACGGUAAGGCCCUUUCGGGGGUACACGAGUGGCGAACGGGUGAGUAACACGUGAGUAACCUGCCCACAACUUUGGGAUAACGCUAGGAAACUGGUGCUAAUACUGGAUAUGUGCUCCUGCUGCAUGGUGGGGGUUGGAAAGCUCCGGCGGUUGUGGAUGGACUCGCGGCCUAUCAGCUUGUUGGUGGGGUAGUGGCCUACCAAGGCGGCGACGGGUAGCCGGCCUGAGGGGGUGACCGGCCACAUUGGGACUGAGAUACGGCCCAGGCGCCUACGGGAGGAAGCAGUGGGGAAGAUUGCACAAUGGGCGCCAGCCGGAUGCAGCAGCGCCGCGUGCGGGAUGACGGCCUUGGGGUUGUAAACCGCUUUCAGCAGGGACGAAGCUUUUUGUGACGGUACCUGCAGAAGAAGCACCGGCUAACUACGUG
rnacentral:rRNA from 1 species